AAACAUUUCUCAUAAAAUUUCAAACAUUCAUGACUUAUUCAUGUUUUAUUCGAGAAUUUACUAACUAGGGUUCGGAAUUUUCCUUGACUUUCUUGAAUCCUACUCUUUCAAGAAACUUCAAUAGCAGCUUUCUCGUUCAGUUUGUUGGAGAGAAGUAUCCAAGAAUCAAGUGUAUCAAUGGCUUUUCCAGAUCGAUGGGUCUCUUGAGCGAUCGCAACUCCUUCAGCUAAGCUGCUCGCAUGGCCGCUUACCAGAAGGGCAGCUGCUGCGUUCAAGACAAAAGCAUCUGCAAUUGAUCCCUUCUCACCGGAGAGUACAUUCCUAAGAACUUUAGCAUUGAAUUCGGGUCCUCCGCCUUUCAGGCUUUCAAGAGUGCAACGAGGUAUUCCAAAAUCCAAUGGAUCGUAAUCCAAUUGCUCAAUCUUCGAUGGAGUGACAUCAAGGAAAUAUCCAGGUCCAAGCGGGCUUAUUUCAUCUAGACCCUUUGAAUGAACAACCAGUGCUCUUUGCAUUCCAAACCGUUGGAGCGCACUAGCCAUCUUCAUGACUAGUUCUUCGUGGUAGACACCAACAACAGCAAAAGGUACUCGGGCUGGAUUCAACAUUGGACCCAAAAUAUUAAAUACUGUCUUAACUUUAAGUUUUUUCCUCACAGGAGCAACAAUCUUCAUUGCUGGGUGAUAUAUGGGAGCCAUCAUAAAACCAAUACCAGCUUCCGUCACACAUCUUUUCACCUCCUCAGGUCCCAACUCAAUGCACACACCCAAAGUCUCCAACACGUCCGCACUCCCACACGCCGAAGAACUCGACCGGUUGCCUUGCUUCGCAAUCUUCGUACCUGCCGCCGCA
rnacentral:misc_RNA from 1 species